AAUUCUGUGAUUCUGUGAGCAGGAAGUGCACUGUCUGUCUGUCUCUUUAUGAGUGGUAACUUUGUAACUUCUUUCUGUUUCUUCCUAUAGAGGACAAUGCAUAUCUGCUUUUCCUGCUUGAGAGUGAAUGGAAAAUCCGACUGAAUGUCAGUUCACAGAGGAAGUAUUUUUCCAGAUAAACUCUCUGGGCAUGCUGCUCCCUCCUGGUUCAACCCACAAGGUUCCACCCAUGCAGUGGUUGUUCCUGUGCCUGUCUUCCGAAGCCCAGGCUCCGUGAAGGCACGGAUGAAGACGCCACCAUCGACGUCUUGACCAAACUAAAUGUUUCCCAACGUCAACCAGUUCUGAUCACCUAUAAGAGCACUCCUGGCAGGGAUUUGAUUGAUGACUUGAAGUGACUUGAAGCUGAAUGGGAAUUUUGAGAGGGUGAUCGUUGGGAUGCUGACUCCCACCACCAUGUAUGACAUGCACGAACUAAGGAGGGCCGUGAAGGAUCACAGGAGCUAAAGUAGUCUGAAAAACAAGAGUCCAAAUGCUUGUCUUUGGAAGGCCCAGCUGGUUACCCAACCCCCGAGCAAAGAAAAAGAAGAAUCAAGUCUUCAGGCACCACACAUACUCAGGUCAGUCAGCUCUGAAAUAAAAG